AGAGUUUGAUCUUGGCUCAGGACGAACGCUGGCGGCGUGCCUAAUACAUGCAAGUCGAACGAGAAUUUCUUACACCGAGUGCUUGCACUCACCGUAAGAAAUUCGAGUGGCGGACGGGUGAGUAACACGUGGGUAACCUGCCCAAAAGAAGGGGAUAACAUUUGGAAACAAAUGCUAAUACCGUAUAACCAUGAUGACCGCAUGGUCAUUAUGUAAAAGGUGGUUCUGCUAUCGCUUUUGGAUGGACCCGCGGCGUAUUAACUAGUUGGUAGGGUAACGGCCUACCAAGGUGAUGAUACGUAGCCGAGUUGAGAGACUGAUCGGCCACAAUGGGACUGAGACACGGCCCAUACUCCUACGGGAGGCAGCAGUAGGGAAUCUUCCACAAUGGGCGCAAGCCUGAUGGAGCAACGCCGCGUGAAUGAAGAAGGUCUUCGGAUCGUAAAAUUCUGUUGUUAGAGAAGAAUAUGAGUAAUAGUAACUGAUUAUUCACUGACGGUAUCUAACCAGCAAGUCACGGCUAACUACGUGCCAGCAGCCGCGGUAAUACGUAGGUGGCAAGCGUUGUCCGGAUUUAUUGGGCGUAAAGGGAACGCAGGCGGUUUUUUAAGUCUGAUGUGAAAGCCUUCGGCUUAACCGGAGAUGUGCAUUGGAAACUGGAAGACUUGAGUGCAGAAGAGGAGAGUGGAACUCCAUGUGUAGCGGUGAAAUGCGUAGAUAUAUGGAAGAACACCAGUGGCGAAAGCGGCUCUCUGGUCUGUAACUGACGCUGAGGUUCGAAAGCAUGGGUAGCGAACAGGAUUAGAUACCCUGGUAGUCC
rnacentral:rRNA from 1 species